rnacentral:rRNA from 1 species
CAGUAGCCGCGGGAAUACGUAGGGUGCAAGCGUUAUCCGGAAUUAUUGGGCGUAAAGAGCUCGUAGGCGGUUUGUCACGUCUGCUGUGAAAACGCGAGGCUCAACCUCGCGCCUGCAGUGGGUACGGGCAGACUAGGGUGCGGUAGGGGAGAUUGGAAUUCCUGGUGUAGCGGUGGAAUGCGCAGAUAUCAGGAGGAACACCGAUGGCAAAGGCAGAUCUCUGGGCCGUAACUGACGCUGAGGAGCGAAAGGGUGGGGAGCAAACAGGCUUAGAGACCCCCGUAGUCCCUGUCUCUUAACA